AUGUUAAGUCUGGCCUGCUCAAUGAUUUAUAUUAUUAAAUAGCCGCAGUAUAUUGACUGUGCGAAGGUAGCAUAAUCAUUUGUCUUUUAAUUGAAGGCUUGAAUGAAUGGUUUGAUGAAAUAGUGACUUUCUUUAUAUUAGUUAUUGAAUUUAAUUUUUUAGUUAAAAAGCUUAAAUUUAUAAAUGGGACGAGAAGACCCUAUAGAAUUUUAUUUUUAUUUAUAGUUAUUUUUUAAGGUUUUAAUUUAUUAAUUAUAAAGUAGAAAUUUUGUUGGGGUGACAGUGAGGAUUCUUUAACUCUCAUAUUUAACUAUAUUAUUGAUUGAUAUUUUAAUGAUCCUAUUUUAUGGAUAUUUAGAUUAAAUUACCUUAGGGAUAACAGCGUAAUUUCUUUGGAGAGUUCUUAUCAAUAAAGAAGUUUGCGACCUCGAUGUUGGAUUAAAUUUAGGAUUAAGUGUAGAUGCUUGAUUUCUAGGUCUGUUCGACC
rnacentral:rRNA from 1 species